GACGAACGCUGGCGGCGUGCUUAACACAUGCAAGUCGAGCGGUAAGGCCCUUUCGGGGGUACGACGAGCGGCGAACGGGUAGGAGUAACAACGUGGGUGGACCUCGCCCUUACGUCUCUGGGAGUAAAGCCUGGGAAACGUAGGGUCGUAAUACCGGAUAUGACUCCAUAACGCAUGUUGUGGGGUGGAAAGCCUUGUGCGGCUAGGGA
rnacentral:rRNA from 1 species